AUGUAUCCAGUUGUGUUUCAGCUAGGGUUGCACCGAUACCAUUAUUGGGUAUCGGGCCGAUACUUCGCACCAAUACCACUCAAUGGUAUUUCAAUACAUCAUACUGGUCGCAGCCGGUGGAUGACUUCAAUGUCAAAGCAGGAGAAUAUUUUGUACUUUGUCUAAUUUAAAUGUGCCAACUGAGUAAUGGUGCUACUCACUUUUGGCUCUGUUUAGAGCUGCCACGUCUAGUGGACAUAGUCGGUGACGUCAACGUUAAUAAUUUGUCAACACCAAUAUUAUAUGCCUGUAUUUAUGUGCAUUUAAAAUUUUAAUAACAUGAAGUAUUUAAUUAGACCUAAGAACAUUCUCUUCCCUGGUGAAGAUGAAGAUGAGGUGCCACGUGUCUUUUCAAAACCUGAAACACGGAAGAAACUAGCUGAACUGCCUGGUGCUCCAAAAAUUCUGUAUUCAUUGGGCCUUGUUCCCCAAGAGAAUAACACUAGAAAGAAAGCUGUGUUACCAACAGGAAAACCACGAAAUUAUUCCACUUAGAAAAACACCAACAAAGGAAUUUUGUUCAGCCAGAGGGACCGCGCCUCCCACAGCCUCAGCCAGAGGGACCGCGCCUCCCCCAGCCUCAGCCAGAGGGACCGCGCCUCCCCCAGCCUCAGCCAGAGGGACCGAGCUGAUGUUGGUGUUUCAAGUCCCACCCCAUAGUACCGAAGUACCAAAAAAGUACCCCAGCUGGUUUGGCACUUUUGGUACUGGUACUCGACCGGAAGUCAGUGGAAAAACGAAAGUACUGAAAGAACCAUACCAAAAGUACCAUAUUUGGUGUGGUGGAAAAGUGCCCUCAAUCUCAUGGUUUACAUCGUGACGGUGCUUGGGAACUGUUUGGUCGGAACAAAAGUUUACAUGCUUGUGCUCUGUGGAACUCUCCGUAGUGGAGCAUCUCUACAUUCUGAUUGGUUGCUGCCAAACCAUGUCAUAGCUCUUUACUGUAAAGUGGACCAGGCUUCAACUUUAUUUUGUUGCCCUCACUGCCCAAAUCGCGACAUGCUGUGCCACUUCGCACUGCCUGUUGACACGCUCUCCCAUACAGUAUUAAUGACUUCCGUUGGCUUUGACGCCCUCGCCGCCCAUGGUGUGUACGCAUGGGAAGACAGUGAGCUGUUCUCCAAUUUAGUUUACACUUCCAUUCUUCUAGGUUUACUUGUAAUAAUUUCAGUUGGGAUGCUACCUAUCAUGACCUUCCUUUUCAGCAGUAUUCAUCACUGGCUAAGAGAGUUAGGCCUGUGUGCCUGUGAUUGGAAAGUUGCUGGUUUAAACCCUGGCCUUGGCAGGAUCACAUCUACAGGCCCUAAAUCCCCCCACCCCCAAAAUAGUCGAGUGGCACUGGAUAAAUGGGUGAUACUGUGGUUGGACCUCAGGCUUCACUCUCAACUGUGUGUGUGUGCGUGUGUGUAGGCGCGUGUGUUUGGUCCAUAUAUACCUUACCUUGGGGACCAAAUGUCUCCACAAUGUUAUGAAUGUGAUGACCAGUUUCCAGGGAAAUUUCAAAAUUUUCAAAAAAUUCAUCUCUGCAAUCAAAAACCUAAAAUUGCAAAAGCUCUUGUAAUGCUUACGGUUAAGAUUGGGACUGGGUAGAGGUUAAGGUUGUCAUAGUUAGCAUUAGCAUUUUUCCCAUAAAAAUCAAUGAGCGGUCCCCACAAAAAUGAUUACAGGUGUGUGUGAAAGGAUAAGCAAGACGACAUGUGAAAAAAGCAUCCCAAUAUACUUGUGCAGAGGGAAAAUAAUGCAUCAUUUCAUUGCCUGUUUUGGUUAAGGACUCCAGCACAUCAUCCAGUGUGUUCAGAAAAUCAUUGUCUAUGACCUGCUCUCCCUGCAGGGCCCUUACAGUUCCGGGGUUAAAAAAAAUCAAGCAGGAUCGUUGCCAACCCCUCACACACUGCCCACUGUCCCUUUUGGGAUGAGAUUCCGCUCACUAAAGACACAAUAGCAGCUUAAUCCUUCAGAAAUAGUUGAAACAAAUGAAAGACCUCUCAAUAUACAAAUGCACAUAAUUACUACCUCUAAUAUCCAGCACUAUUCUUUUAAACAUAUUUGUCAUUUAAUGUUUUACGUCUGUUCCCUGUGAAUUUUUUAAUGUUUUACUUUUCUCUGAUCUAUACUCUGUUUUCUAGUACAUACCUGUAUUACUACAAGACAAAUUCCUUGUGUGAAUUUCAAGGCCAGUAAAGCACGUUUUGAUUUUAA